UUAGUAAAAUUUAAAGUAUAAUUAUUUGGUAUAUCGCUACAAAAAGAUGCUACAUAAUUACUUGUGCAUGGAAAUGAAUCAACGCAUUUGUCUCAUUUUAAAUGAAGCAUCUGAUCAAACAGAUUCACUAAAAUGAAUCAGACUUCCCAAUGCUUCAUUUGUCUUUCAUAAACUGUGCACUUUUGUGCAGAAUCUUGCUUAGCAGGUUAGUUAAUGGCAUUUAAACUAUCGGCAUGCUUAAAUCUGUCUACUUCAGUAAUAACACACCUGGCAGAAACUCUUGAACAUUUAGGAGUGACGCCUUUCAACAGACGUUGUGUUUGUGUGCUUGUUUCUGAAGAGAGCUUUCUCCACUCAGGCAGAUUUUGCUUUCAUUUUCACACAGUUUGACCAUUUCCUUUAAUUUUAUUGGUGAGGCUGGCUUUUAAAAGUAAACAAAGUCAGGAGGCGCAGCGGCCCAAACGGCUCCCUGUGCACUUCAAAGAGCUGCUCCAUAUGUUUUCAUGAUUUCAGAGCCACUGCGGCGUUGUCUCUUGUUUAUGUGUUUGCUGUACAGGUUGUUUUCUGGGCAUCAGCUCGUGUGUCUUGCAGGGAGGGAUGAUGAAACUCGAACACUUCGUGCGGUCGUGUGUUAAAUCAGCAUCAGAGAUUAUUAGCAGCAGGCCUGCGUGGAAUUAGCGACUGGAUAGUUGCGACAAAGACGGGAAGCAUUUUAGUGGAUGCAUAAUGAAGAGCAAAGGAUGUGUUUUAGAUACCAACUAUUGCAUCUCGGCCAUAUGGGAACGCAAUAUUGGAAGUGCUGCUUCAGUGGAUUCCUGAGGCACCUCCUGUUACCGUCACUGAACUUCCUGCCGAAAGACGGGCUGAUUUAGUGCUCAGUUCUCAUAAUCUUGCAGAAACCCCACGGACCGUCCUGCACGCACAAGAUGAAGUGACGGAUGGAGUGGAAGAGAAAGAUCUCCACGUGGGUCAGAGCACAGCAAACCACCGAACCCUUAGAAGUGACCAUUUAUACAAGAGUUCAGGAGUCUGCGAGACGUCUUUCUCGUGUGGGUUUGAAGCCUUGGGCCGCGGUGAAGGGGUUAUUUGAGCAGAUGCUGUGCAUUCUUGGGUUUGUUCGAGCGGAUCCCUCCUCGUGAGCAGAGGCUUGACUUUCCCAAAGCUGAUAUUAAUAUCACAGACCAUUGUGAUGGAGUUAUUUUCAUGGAAGCCCAGGAGGAAGUCACGUGACUCUAAUUAGUCCCCGGGGGCCGCAGCGUCUCCAUUACGUGCCUUGUUUUAACUCACAUAACCAUCAAUGAAGUGGAAAGGCUGAGGAAGUAGCAAUCACUGCUCCUGGGCGGCUGGUUUUAUUUGAAUGUUUCCUCCAGCACCUAUUUUGUUAAUGGGCCCAAAAUCUGAGAAAAAAAAAGUGUCUUCCCUCCUUUUCCCCCCAUGACGUUUCUUCGCUUUAAAAAUGAGCGAGCGCACAUGUGAGCGUCUACUAGCGGGAAGAUUGAUGAUUCUGGGAUUUGUUGGUUCACACCCUGUUCAAUACAUGGGGAAAAAUCGGGAAUGACGGAUGCACUCGCACGGAUAAAACCAUUAAAUGUGUCGUUCCUGUUUGGCAGCAGCUUAUGAACUCUAAUCUAAGAAACUAAUAUGCUUGUGUUGUAAUUUAAGAAAGUAUUUCUACAAAAGAGAUAUAAAAACUUGGUAAAAGAGUUUAAGUAAAACUACAAUAAGGUUCCAUUACAGUUAACAUGAACUAAACUCUAAAGCAUUUAUUCAUCUUAGUUCAUGUUAAUUUCAACAUUUACUUAUACUUUAUUAAAAUCAUAAGUUAUAUCUGUUAAUUUUAUUUAAAGGACCUGAGCUGACAUGGACUAGCAAUGAAAAAUCAACUAACUUUAACCAAGAUUAAUAAAAUACUGUAACAAAUGCAUUUUUUUUUUGUUAGUUAAAGCAUUAAAAUACAUGAACUAAUGGGACCUUGUCUUGUGAAAAGCACAGUAAAAAAAUAUUUUAGUUUAGUUUUAAACUACACUAAAAAUAAAGAUUAUUGCCGUAUGCUUUAGGAAAUUUUAUUCGUCUUCUACUUUUCGCGUUUAAUUUACUUAACAGUUCUUUGUAAAUAUAUUAGUGGAAUUUAUGUGCAAUUUCUUAGUGAAAAUUAUUUCUGUUAAUAUAUAUUUUUUCCAGACUUUUAGACUAAAGGGAAUUUACGAAAUUAAAGGGGAACUGAAAAAUGAAGUUGAAAAUGAAGGAUCAAUUAAGAAAAUAUUCCUAAAAAAAAACUUAAUUUGAAAUAUUUUGAUCAGAAAGCACUGGGAGACAUGACAGGAAUGGCAUUUUGAUGUAAAAUUC